rnacentral:rRNA from 1 species
UACGAAGGGGGCAAGCGUUGUUCGGAAUUACUGGGCGUAAAGCGCGCGUAGGCGGUUUGUUAAGUCAGCUGUGAAAGCCCCGGGCUCAACCUGGGAACUGCAGUUGAUACUGUCCGACUAGAGUACGAGAGAGGGAGGUAGAAUUCCAUGUGUAGCGGUGAAAUGCGUAGAUAUAUGGAGGAAUACCAGUGGCGAAGGCGGCCUCCUGGCUCGAUACUGACGCUGAGGUGCGAAAGCGUGGGGGAUCAAACAGG